GCCCCCGUAGCUCAACUGGACAGAGCAACAGGUUUCUACCCUGUAGGUUGUGGGUUCGAGUCCCUCCGGGGGUACCA
rnacentral:tRNA from 1 species